rnacentral:rRNA from 1 species
GAUCCUGGCUCAGGACGAACGCUGGCGGCGUGCCUAACACAUGCAAGUCGAACAAGCACUGUGGAUAGAGACUUCGGUCAAUUGAAGCUUUUGAUUUUAGUGGCGGACGGGUGAGUAACGCGUGAGGAACCUGCCUUUCAGAGGGGGACAACAGUUGGAAACGACUGCUAAUACCGCAUGAAGCAGCGAGAUCACAUGGUCUUGCUGCCAAAGAUUUAUCGCUGAAAGA